rnacentral:rRNA from 1 species
UACGUAGGGAGCAAGCGUUGUCCGGAAUCAUUGGGCGUAAAGCGCGCGUAGGUGGUCCCGUAAGUCCGCUGUGAAAGUCAAAGGCUCAACCUUUGAAAGCCGGUGGAUACUGUGGGACUAGAGUACGGAAGAGGCGAGUGGAAUUCCUGGUGUAGCGGUGGAAUGCGCAGAUAUCAGGAGGAACACCAAUAGCGAAGGCAGCUCGCUGGGACGUUACUGACACUGAGAGACGAAAGCUAGGGGAGCGAAUGGG